CCGGCGCACGGGUGAGUAACACGUAUCCAACCUGCCGUCUACUCUUGGACAGCCUUCUGAAAGGAAGAUUAAUACAAGAUGGCAUCAUGAGUCCGCAUGUUCACAUGAUUAAAGGUAUUCCGGUAGACGAUGGGGAUGCGUUCCAUUAGAUAGUAGGCGGGGUAACGGCCCACCUAGUCUUCGAUGGAUAGGGGUUCCGAGAGGAAGGUCCCCCACAUUGGAACUGAGACACGGUCCAA
rnacentral:rRNA from 1 species